UUUAUAUCUAAUUUGGCCGGAGACCAUGCCACCUCAUGCUACGAUCUUUUGGGCGUCAUGAAUGCGGUGGUUGACAUGUGAGCCCCAGGAGAACACCUUCAUGAGCUUUGUGCCAUGUGCCAUAUGGAGGGGCCACUUUCUCUGCUUGGUGGUGAGACCUCCAGAGUUGCUACCAACACUUGCCCCAGGGAACUGUGUAUGACUUCUUGCUGCUACUGGUGGUUCUCAGCCCUCUAGGUAUAGAAGUCAUGUGGAUAGCUUUGAAAAGCUGCACCCAUCUGCACAUUCUAUAGAACUUUGGUUCUAGUUGGUCUGGUGGAAGGCUGGUAAACUUGAUUCCAGAACUUCCCAGGUGCUUCAAAUGUAUAGCCAGACUUGAGAGGGCUCAGGUAUUGCCUCUCAAGUUGUGUAAUAGCUCUUUUGGUAUCUUUGCUUUCAGGGAGCAAUUUCUACCCCUCUUCUCUCUGUCCUGGGGCUUUGUUUACCUCAUCUACUCAUUUAUUUAUAUUAUAAUUAGCAUCUAUUAUUGGCUUGGCACUUUCAUUUGAAGUGUUUAGAUUGCUUCCGUUCAAAAUACUUUCAUUCCAUUUCUAGCCAGUGAAUUGCCAAGUAACGUGACGCACAACAGCCCGGUGACUGGAGUUUUUAGCUCUCAUAACACCCUUAACGACCUGGUGAUUAUAAGCCAGUCUCAAGUAAUUGAACAAUCGGUAGCUACUGUGAGAUUGCCAUUAUGUGGGGGCUAUUUGUAACCUGUAGAAUGAAAUCUGUGAAGAUUAUAGGCGCAGACUUCAGAGCUAUCCACAGUUUUAACUGUUUUUUUAAUAGGGAAGAGUUAAGAUUCUUUAAAAUGCAUAAUCCAUGAAACAGGGCCCUGAGAAAUUUCUUAUCUCUGUGGCUUAACCUUUAUGAAAUCCGCUGGAUGUCUUGCAUGUGCCAAAAUAAAUAUCUGCUGUUUGGCAAGAAAAUGCAUACUCCACCAAGUAGGAGCCUUGCUUGGUGGUGAAGGUCCAGAAGUAUCGCCAGGGCCUCGAAAUAGGGCUGAGUACAACCCCUUCUGCAGAGUGUGUGUCCUCCCUCUUGCUUACUUUCCAAGGCACUGCAUACCAGUAGAACUUCUGUGUCCAAUUUGUUCCCAUCUACAGCAAAGGAAGGAAAGGACAGCAGCGGGCUCACUGAGAACUCUUAAUACAUACAAAAUAGCUGUCAUCAUACUAAUGAUAAUAACAACAGUAUCAUCUUUGUAGACUGCAGGAAAGGGUUAUGAACUACAUUAUGUGAGGAACCCAGUCUCUUUAAGGGGGUAGGAGCUCUAUUUUAGAAAACAUGCCCGUGGUUUUAUCAUAUAGCCUGUUGGGAUGGACGGACCUCGGCGGGCCACUAGCAUGUUCUAGGUGAUACUUUUCUCUAAAGUAUUUAUUGAGAAGUUCAGUUUUGAUCUGUGCAUCCAAUUCAGGAGACAGUGUGAGGCUCAUGGCAGACUGUACUAGAAAUCUUACUGCUUUUUAGUCCUUGUGAGCUUGCGCUCUCUCUCUCUCUCUCUCUCUUUCUCUCUCAUUGUGGGGAAAUUACAUUCCAUAAAAUACUGUUCAGAGGCAUUAAGUGCAUUCACCUUGUUGUGCAGCCAUCACCAUAGUCCACCUCCAGAAUAUAUUCAUUUUCCCAAUCUGAAACUCUGUAGCCAUUAAACAAUAACUCCUCAUUCCUUCCUCCCCCUCCUCCCACGAGUUCCUGGUCUUGCUU